CAUCCUUGAACAACCUCACGAAAACGAUCCCUUCCGGCAUCACAACUGCUACUGCCUCCUCCCUCCACACUGCUGUCGCCGGAAAAUCUACAUCGUUUUCUCCGAGAGAAGGGGCAUUGUCGUUUUCUUUGGGGUUGAAGAGCCGAUAACCCACUUCGUUCUGUGUUCCACCCAAAGCAACGAGAUUAAGGCUCGAUUUUACUUUGCAGCUGCAAGUUAAGGCUCGAUUUCACUUUGCAGCUGCGAGUUAAGGUUUGGGUGGCAUACUAAGAAUCAAGUUGGCUAAAUGCUUUCAUUUCGAUUGUUUUAUUGAUAUGCUAUGGCAGGAAAAUAAUUGGAGCUAGAUACUAUCUAAAGGGAUAUGAGGCAUAUUAUGGACCUCUAAAUAACACACAGGAUUAUCGAUCACCCCGAGAGAAACCACAAGGUACGUACAUAUCGAAUUUGAUUCCUGCUGUCUAAUUUUUCUUCCCUGAUCCAUACAUAGGGGCAUAUGGUGACUCCAUUUAAGCUGGGCAAGAUGUACCCACUAGUUUAUGUCGGAAACUUAGAAAUUCCCGAUACAACCCCCAAAGACAAGACCGGGUAAUUUUCUUCCU